ensembl:miRNA
GGAGGGAAGAAUAGGAAGGACUCUGUAUUGUGGUUCAGUACCAUGCAAAGUCCUUCCUAUUUUUCCCUCC